UGCAGCGUUAGGGGCGUUUGUUAUUUACCCAAUCAAGAAUGGAAACAAGGUUGUUGGACAAAGAAAUGUUCCGUUUAUUCAAACGGUUACGUACAAGGAUGGAAAACACUAAUUGUAAAAACACAGUGUCCGGAUACUUAUGGUAGAUGUAUAGAUCCCGGUCAAAAGAAUUCUGGAGGGUGUACCUGUACUGUUUCUGGAAUACAUUGGUCAUACAGAUGUAGAGGAAAAUAAAUGUCUUUCAAAACUA